UACGUAGGGUGCGAGCGUUAAUCGGAAUUACUGGGCGUAAAGCGUGCGCAGGCGGCGCGUUAAGACAGGUGUGAAAGCCCCGAGCUUAACUUGGGAAUUGCGCUUGUGACUGGCGUGCUGGAGUGUGGCAGAGGGAGGUGGAAUUCCACGUGUAGCAGUGAAAUGCGUAGAGAUGAUGGAGGAACACCGAUGGCGAAGGCAGCCUCCUGGGCCAGCACUGACGCUCGAUACACGAAAGCGUGGGGAGCAAACAG
rnacentral:rRNA from 1 species